rnacentral:tRNA from 1 species
CCCGAGGAUGUAGCUCAGUGUUAGAGUGUUUGCUUAGAAACCACAAGGAUCCUGGGUUCAAAACCCAGUAUCGGGG